rnacentral:lncRNA from 1 species
CGGCGCUGUGGCCCCGCCCCUGGAGCCGCGGCUGGAGAAGAACCAGUCACCCGCGCGCUCGAGUGACGAAGCCCACCCCCGGGGCGGGAGGCGAGGAGGAGAGGUCAGGCAGAGGAUUUCGCCCGGCGGUGCGCGACCCGCGAAGCGCUGGCGGCGCCCUUUCGGAGAAGAGACCGUCAGUUUCGAAUCCAAGGACGGUGAUGGCAAAGCUUACCCGAGUUCUCAGUAAAAUCAAAGCUGUCACACAAUAAAUCCCGCUGCCUGCUGGCGAGGCCCCCGCGCGCUGCAAACUUCAGUGCGCGAACUGGGUAAUCAGUGUUUGGAUAUGCAGAUCCUUGACUCAAAAGGCGGGGUGACCCCCCCAAGAAGCUCUCCCGGGGACCGAAGCCCGCAGGUGCAGUGAGGCGUGUGCGCGCACGGGUGCUGGCGCCCCCGAAGGCGCCUCGCGCCGAGAGAGGGAGACCCGGCGCCCGGCGGGGUCUGGCGGCCAC